CCUCCGAUAGCUCGAUUGGUAGAGCGCUAAGCAGCCGUUGUUAGUCUCCAAAUGGCAAUUAGAAGCUCAGAGAUGCUGGUUCGAAUCCAGCUUGGAGGA
rfam:Stereum hirsutum FP-91666 SS1 unplaced genomic scaffold STEHIscaffold_2, whole genome shotgun sequence.